AAUAAAUGUAGUUUUACACUAUUCACGUUCAAUGUUUGAACGUUCGUUUUAUUUAAAAAAUUUUUAUGAUUAGUAUUUUUAUUGCUAUUAGAUGAUAAAACAUGAAUAGUAUUUUAUGUGUGACUAAAUAUUUUCAAAUUUUUCAAAUAAGACGGACGGUCAAACGUUGGGCACGGAUAUUCACGACUGCACUUAUU
rfam:Oryza barthii chromosome 7, whole genome shotgun sequence.